rnacentral:tRNA from 1 species
GUUCAGAUGGCCGAGCGGUUAAGGCGUUGGACUGCUAAUCCAAUUCCCUCUGGGAGCGUGAGUUCAAAUCUCACUCUGAACG